GGCAGUGUAAUGUAAUGGUUUGAGUGCUGGACUAUGACUCUGGAGUCCUGGGUUCAAAUCCCCUCCUGGCUA